GACGAGGGGUCCUAGCGUUGUUCGGAAUUACUGGGCGUAAAGAGCGCGUAGGCGGCCUUCUAAGUCGAACGUGAAAUCCCCGGGCUCAACCCGGGAACUGCGUCCGAGACUGGAAGGCUCGAAUCCGGGAGAGGGAUGUGGAAUUCCAGGUGUAGCGGUGAAAUGCGUAGAUAUCUGGAGGAACAUCGGUGGCGAAGGCGGCAUCCUGGACCGGUAUUGACGCUGAGGCGCGAAAGCCAGGGGAGCAAACGGG
rnacentral:rRNA from 1 species